GAUGAACGCUGGCGGCGUGCCUAACACAUGCAAGUCGAGCGAUUCUCUUCGGAGAAGAGCGGCGGACGGGCGAGUAACGCGUGGGUAACCUGCCCUGUACACACGGAUAACAUACCGAAAGGUAUGCUAAUACGAGAUAAUAUGCUUUUAUCGCAUGGUAGAAGUAUCAAAGCUUUUGCGGUACAGGAUGGACCCGCGUCUGAUUAGCUAGUUGGUAAGGUAACGGCUUACCAAGGCGACGAUCAGUAGCCGACCUGAGAGGGUGAUCGGCCACAUUGGAACUGAGACACGGUCCAAACUCCUACGGGAGGCAGCAGUGGGGAAUAUUGCACAAUGGGCGAAAGCCUGAUGCAGCAACGCCGCGUGAGCGAUGAAGGCCUUCGGGUCGUAAAGCUCUGUCCUCAAGGAAGAUAAUGACGGUACUUGAGGAGGAAGCCCGGCUAACUACGUGCCAGCA
rnacentral:rRNA from 1 species